UGGGGAAUAUUGGACAAUGGGCGCAAGCCUGAUCCAGCCAUGCCGCGUGAGUGAUGAAGGCCCUAGGGUUGUAAAGCUCUUUUGGCGGGGAAGAUAAUGACGGUACCCGCAGAAUAAGCCCCGGCUAACUUCGUGCCAGCAGCCGCGGUAAUACGAAGGGGGCUAGCGUUGCUCGGAAUCACUGGGCGUAAAGGGCGCGUAGGCGGCCAUUCAAGUCGGGGGUGAAAGCCCAGGGCUCAACCCUGGAAUUGCCUUCGAUACUGUUUGGCUAGAGACCGGAAGAGGUAAGUGGAACUGCGAGUGUAGAGGUGAAAUUCGUAGAUAUUCGCAAGAACACCAGUGGCGAAGGCGGCUUACUGGUCCGGUUCUGACGCUGAGGCGCGAAAGCGUGGGGAGCAAACAGGAUUAGAUACCCUGGUAGUCCACGCCGUAAACGAUGGAUGCUAGCCGUUGGCGAGCUUGCUCGUCAGUGGCGCAGCUAACGCUUUAAGCAUCCCGCCUGGGGAGUACGGUC
rnacentral:rRNA from 1 species